UUACAAAUACUGAUAUUUUUGUUCUUUCUUGAAUAACUACGCUCACAAUUAUAACAAAAACAUAUUAUCUUCGAUAGGGAUUGGUGUGUCGUAUGAAACCGGUCCACUCUUUACCUCAGAUUCAAUUUUUGGUGAACAAAGACAAACCUUAUCACAAUGUUGGAGAACUUUGUUCAUUCUAGAACAGUGAUCAGCACACUCAAAACAAAAUUCUCUUUGAUCAACUUCGAUAGGUUGUUUGUAGUUCUGAACCGCAUAUUCAAUUUGAGGAUUCUCUGCCAAAUUGGAAGAAAUAAAUUUCUCUUUUGAAUCAGAAUUUGCGGUAAUAUUUGAUACACCUAUAAACAAAAUAAAAAUGAAUAGUGUGAUCAAUAUAUUAUUAGAAUUGUAUAAAAUAUUUUACAUAUUUAAUGUAUGCAAACCUAGAAUGAACUUACAUGAUGAAACGAUAGUUAGAAAAAUGAGAAAUAUCUUCAUUUUCAUUUUGAAAUGACCGUACUUUCAAUUUAUGUUUGCUACUAAUUGUUUUGAGUUUGGCUGUGAAGUUAAAAUGAUAGAUAAUCUCAUAUUAAUAUGGUUCUUUUCAUAUAUAAGAGUUACCGUUCUCAUCAGCGUUUUUUUGUUUUUGUUAUUAGAUUGAGGUUAGAAACCUCCAGUAUUAAUUUAAAAAGUUAAAUGCGAAUGUUAUUUGUAUUAAACAACAAUAGUUAUUGUAUCCGCAUUUAUUUGCAAAUAUUAAACGUUAUGAAAAGUCAACUCGCAACAAUCUUUGCUCGUUUAAUUUACUACUUGGCUAAACAAAUCGAAUGAUUUUCUUAAUUCAUAUGUUUAACGAAUAAAUAAUGCCACUUUCUUACGAUUUUGUUUUCAAAAUUAUGCUAACCCUCAGCCUCUUCAGUAUAAUUGGGUUCGUAUAACGGAUCGGAUACAUAUAUUACACCCGUUACCAAAGAAAAAAAAAACUCAAAAUGGAUUUUAGUUGAUCAGGAUAUUUUUAAUAUUUGUGCCAUGGAAAUUAUUCUAACUAGCUACCAUCUGUUACAUAAUUUCCUCUUUUGAAUGCUGAUAUCAGCAUAAUUCAUUGUACCCAACGUUAUUUUAGGAUUUUAAGGUGUUGAUGAUGAUGAUGAUUGAUGAUGAUAACCACAGAUAAGUUAAAAAAAGCUUGGUUUUUAUUUUGUUGUCUUGCUGCUGUGUCUUUCAAGAAACUCAACUUGAAGUUUCACCAUCAUUACACAUGUAUAGUGUGAUAUUUUACGACUAUUAAAUCAAUGCAAUAGAGGUUCUGAGAUAGCUAGGGUAGAAGAUAUAUAGAUGACUUCUUUACUGUAGUCUGUAGUAUAAUGAUAAAAGAGAAAAAAGAAAUGUUCAAAGGCUAGGUCAGAGUGGACAUGCUCGAAAGAUUGGCCUCUCUAAUUAUUCAUCAACAUUCAUAUGCUCUUUUUUUUAAUUUUUAAAAUCAUUUGUCCAUUAUAUUUUCCUAAUUUGCUAACCUAAUUCUCUUCAUCUUGUUUCGAUGUACUUUCCUUCAACGGUGAUUUGUUCUGCUACGCAAACGCCUUCACAAUCCAAAGUCAAAUAGAAGAAUUACCAUUUAGGCGCAGUACAAGAAACAAUCAACAGAUAUCUCUCUUUUAGUUUUUUAGAGACUAAAUAAUUUUCUACUGAAAAUAUAUAUAUAAUGAUAAGCGAGUAAAGUUUUUGAAGUUUCACAUAAAUAGUUACUACUAAUGAAAGUGUAUUAAAAUGUGGAUUUAGCGUGAAUAAAGACAAAUAAACUUAUUACAAUAUACAUUCAUAACAAAAUCCAAAUAGAUUAGUUCCAUGUUCAGGGGUUCGCAAAUGAUUGUCGUCUGAAACCGGUUCCUUCCUUCAGUACUGAAACUUAUGUUUGAUGUCUAUUUAUUGAUUUAAUUUUAAACUAUAUGUACAAAAGAAUAAAGGAAUUCAGAUAUAUUAAACCUAAACGAGGCACCGAAUGUUGUAUUGUAUAUUCCCAAAUUUUCAUUCAGGAGAAGAAUGUAUACGUUCGGAUGGACAUACGACAUGACACACACACGUGAUCAUACUAAAAUAAAAUAUGAAAACACGAGCAUCAAUUUAAUAUAAUGUAAUAUCAAAUUUUUAUUAUUAAAGAAAAAUUGCAAGGGACGUUAGUCACGAUUCUAAGAUGAACAACGACAAAUUAAAUUUUUACACAUACUGAUAUCUUUGUUCUUUCUUGAACAACUACGCUCACAAUUAUAACAAAACAUACUAUCUUCGAUAGGGAUUGGUGUGUGGUAUGAAACCGGUCCAUUCUUUACCUCAGAUUCAAUUUUAGGUGAACAAAGACAAACAUUAUAAUCACAAUGUUGGAGAACUUUGUUCAUUCUAGAACAGUGAUCAGCACACUCAAAACAAAAUCUUCGACUAACUUCGAUAGGAUAUUUGUAGUACUUAACCGCAUAUUCAAUUUGAGGAUUCUCCUUGGAAGAAAUAAAUUUCUCUUUUGAAUCAGAAUUUGCCAUAAUAUUUGAUACACCUAUAAACAAAAUAAAAAUGAAUAGUGUAAUCAAUAUAUUAUUAGAAUUGUAUAAAAUAUUUUACAUAUUUAAUGUAUGCAAACCUAGAAUGAACUUACAUGAUGAAACGAUAGUUAGAAAAAUGAGAAAUAUCUUCAUUUUCAUUUUGAAAUUACCGUACUUUAAAUUUAUGUUUGCUACUAAUUGUUUUGAAUUUUGGCUGUGAAGUUAAAAUGAUAGAUAAUCUCAUAUUUAUAUGGUUCUUUUCAUAUAUAAGAGUUACCGUUCUCAUCAGCGUUUUUUUGUUGUUGUUAUUAGAUUGAGGUUAGAAACCUCCAGUAUUAAUUAAAAAAGUUAAUGCGAAUUGUUAUUUGUAUUAAACAAGAAUAGUUAUUGUAUCCGCAUUUAUUUGCAAAUAUUAAACGUUAUGAAAAGUCAACUCGCAACAAUCUUUGCUCGUUUAAUUUACUACUUGGCUAAACAAAUCGAAUGAUUUUCUUAAUUCAUAUGUAAGUUUAACGAAUAAUUAGUGGCACUUUCUUACGAUUUUGUUUUCAAAAUUAAAUUAUGCUAACCCUCAGCCUCUUCAAUAUUUUUGGGUUCAUAUAACGGAUCGGAUACAUAUAUUACAUCCGUUACCAAAGAAAAAAAAAAGUCAAAAUGGAUUUUAGUUGUUGAUGAGGAUAUUUUAAAAAAAUUUGUGCCAUGGAAAUUAUUCUAACUAGCUACCAUCUGUUACAUAAUUUCCUAUUGUGAAUGCUGAUAUCAGCAUAAUUCAUUGUACCCAACGUUAUUUUAGGAUUUUAAGGUGUUGAUGAUAAUUGAUGAUGAUAACCACAGAUAAGCUAAAAAAGCUUGGUUUUUUGUUGUCUUGCUGCUGUGUCUUUCAAGAAACUCAACUUGAAGUUUCACCAUCAUUACACAUGUAUCGUGUGAUGUUUUACGACUAUUAAAUCAAUGCAAUAGAGGUUCUGAGAUAGCUAGGGUAGAAGAUAUAUAGAUGACUUCUUUACUGUAGUAUAAUGAUAAAAGAGAAAAGAGAAAUGUUCAAAGGCUAGGUCAGAGUGGACAUGCUCGAAAGAUUGGCCUCUCUAAUUAUUCAUCAACAUUCAUAUGCUCUUUUUUUUAAUUUUUAAAAUCAUUUGUCCAUUAUAUUUUCCUAAUUUGCUAACCUAAUUCUCUUCAUCUUGUUUCGAUGUACUUUCCUUUAAUGGUGAUUUGUUCUGCUACGCAAACGCCUUCACAAUCCAAAGUCAAAUAGAAGAAUUACCAUUUUUGGAGCAGUGUGAUGAUCAUACAUCGUUCGCAUUUAUUUGCUUAGGCCGUCAUUAUUGAUGAUCUUAGGCGCAGUACAAGAAACAAUCAACAUAUGUCUUUCUUUAAGUUCUUUAGAGUCUAAAUAAUUUUCUAAUGUAAUACGGUUAACCAACGGUUUAUAAUCAGCGAGUAAGGUUUUUGGAAUUUCACAGACAUACUUACUACUAAUGGCAGAUGAUUAGUGACAAUAUACGGUUAACCAACGGUUUAUUACGGUUGCAGUUAGUAUUUUUUUAACCGUUACUAAUUUACUUGUGCGGUUCACGGUUACAGUUUUUAACCGUUUUAUACAGUUACGAUCCAGUUACGGUUUAUAAACGGUCCGGUUACGGUUAAAAAUACGGUUAAGGUUAGUUUUUGGUCAUGCCUACAAUUUAGGUACAUGAUUACUACUAAUGACAGAUGAUUAAUGACAAUGUACUAAAAUAUGGAUUUAGCGUGAAUAAAGACAAAUAAACUUAUUACAAUAUAUUCAUAACAAAAUCCAAAUAGAUUAGUAUCACAAAAGCAAAUGUUUGUCGUGUGGUGGUUAUUUAUUGAUUUAAAUUUAAACUAUAGGCACAAGAGAUUAAAGGAAUUCAGAUAUACUAAUCAUAAACGAGACACCAAAUUUUGUAUCGUAUAUUCCCAAAUUUUCAUUCAGGAGAAGAAUGUAUACGUCCGAAUGGACAUACGACACACACGCACACACACCUGAUCAUACUAAAAUAGAUAUGAAAACACGAACAUCAAUUUAAUAUAAUGUAAUAUCAAAUUUUUAUUAUAUAAAAUCAUUAAAGAAAAAUUGCGUGGGUUAGUCACGAUUCUUAAGAUGAACAAAUACAAAUAAAAUUCUUACAAACACGGACAUCUUUGUUCUUUCUUAAACAAUCACGACCACAAUUGUAACAAAACAUACCAAUUUCGAUAGGGGUCGGUAGUGUGCCGUAACCCGGUCCAUCAGAUACAAUUUUAGGUGAACAAAGACAAACCUUAUCACAGUUUUGGAUAAUUUGGUUCAAUCUAGAACAGUGAGCAGCGCAGUCUAAACAAAAUCUUGGAUUGAUAUCUAUGACAGGCAGUGUGUAGUAUGCAUUAUUAACCUCAGAUUCUGUUUGAGGAUUCUCUGCCAGAUUGGAAGAUAUCAAUUUC
rnacentral:lncRNA from 1 species